rnacentral:rRNA from 1 species
UACGGAGGGUGCGAGCGUUGUCCGGAAUCACUGGGCGUAAAGGGCGCGUAGGCGGCCCGGUAAGUAGGAGGUGAAAUCCUGAGGCUCAACCUCAGGGCUGCCUUCUAAACUGCCAGGCUCGAGCACAGUAGAGGCAGGUGGAAUUCCCGGUGUAGCGGUGAAAUGCGUAGAUAUUGGGAGGAACACCGGUGGCGAAGGCGGCUAUCUGGACCGGUACUGACGCUGAGGUGCGAAAGCGUGGGGAGCAAACAGG